AUGUCGUACACCCACCUCUUCAAGUACAUCGUCAUCGGCGACGCAGGUGUUGGCAAGUCAUGCCUGCUGCUGCAGUUCACCGACAAGCGGUUUCAGCCCCUGCAUGACCGCACCAUCGACAUCGAGUUCGACGUCUUCGCCUCCAAGAUGGUCAUCGUCGACAGAAAGCCCAUUAAGCUCCAGAUCUGGGACACGCCAGGCGAAAAAAGAUUCAGAUCGAUCACUAGAUCGUACUACGAUGAAGUUGAUGGAACUCUUCUAGUUUAUGACAUUACUAGGAGGGAAACAUUUAAUCAUCUCGCGAGCUGGUUAAGGGAUGUGAGGCAAUUUGCAAAGGGCAACAUGACAAUAAUGCUAGUUGGAAACAAAUGUGAUCUAUCUCACAGGCAUGCCGUGAGCUAUGAGGAAGGUAGGAAGUUCGCAAAUGAGCAUGGUCUGAUCUUUGUGGAGGCAUAUGCAAAAGCUGCACAAAAUGUUGAGGAGGGUUUUGUUCAGACUGCUGGAGUCAUCUCUACUCCUAAUAAUCUUGGACCUGCUCCAGCGCUUGUUCUUGGGCGAAAACACAGGACGCGAGGCGCUGGUGGUCCGCUGGGGCGGACGUUCGACUGCCACCGGCACAAGCGGAUGGCGCCCGACAAGCCGUGGGCCGACCUCCAGCUGGUGUGGCGCACCACAGGCAGCAUGAUUCGAUACAACAUCCUCGGCAAGGAGGUCCAGCGGCUCCAGCAGCUCGAGUUGUUGCGGGCUUAG
rnacentral:rRNA from 1 species